GGGAAUUGCAGGGGAAAUCAGGGAGGGAUUCUCAGAGGAGCAGACAUUUGCUCUGGAUCAGAAGGGCUCUGGUAGAUGUGUGAAUGGACAGCAAAAUGCCAAAGGCAAGUGGCCAGAGGAAGAGCAGCAACCUGGACAUUUAGCCUCUGGAAAAAUGAAAAGUCACUGGAGUCUCCUUUCAUUUUUGAGAGCAGAAGCUGCCUGGCUUCUAAACUUCUGAGUGCCGAGCCUCAAAUGCCAGGUAUCAAGUAGGAGAUGAGUGCUUAUGUGGCAGCAUGGAUGAAUUUGGGUGGGGGGAUGAUUCGUAGGAGCUGUGGAGUAAGUAGAUUGGGGAAAAUAUAGGGGAACAUCUGUCUUUGGCAAAACGCUAAGCCACUGAGGUAUCUUCAGGGCACUGCAUUCAACAUGGAAAAAAUUAAAUUCUGUUGCAUCCAAAUGACUGCCUGGUCACUUUGAGAACAGCAAAGUGGUAGUUAUUCUUGAAGAAGUGUGUGGAAGAAAAAUUAGCAAAAGGAGGUUAUAACCUAGGACUUCUGAGAAGCCUCCCUAAGAUCUAAGGGAGAUUGUUGCUUCUCCACAGAGGAAAAGCUGGGCAUUGCUCUGAAUUUCAAUGAAGUGUUACUGCUAGCCAUUAAAAAUGAAAAUUUUCCUACAUCCAGUAGCCUGUAGGUGUGUAAGUGUCCUUACCAAUCUGUGUUCCAUCUUUUGGCAAAUUAAUAGGACAUGAACUUAUCUGUUUAAACUUUAUACAAAAUUCCUAACUCCAAGGGGUAAAAAUUGUCAGGCUCCCAAAUUCAAAUCUAGAGAAGUUAGAAUCCUUAUUGUUUACAAAGCUUGCCCAUCAGAUGGAGCUGGUGUUAAUUAACUCUGGCGUCCCUACAUUCACUUUGCAUAUUCAGUGGUUGCUAUGAAAAUCUGGGUCUGAAUAACAAAUGCACAGCCGGCACCAUUAAGCAGAGUGCUGCCAUCACAUAUUUUUCCUCGGGUUGCUUCUGUUACCAAUCAAACUUGCAGACGUGAGACUAGAGCGUUUCUGACAGUGAGUCCCACAAUAAGAUGCUGUUCAUUUAUUUUGGCAGUGGGUCAUCCAAUUCUAAGAAGGCAGCUGUGCGUGGCAUAGCCCAGCAUUAUAACUCAAAAUCUGUCCUUAACACUUGCAGGACAUGGGGUUAUGGCAUUUUAGAGGGAGACCGAACAGAUAGAAGGCUGCAUUAAGAAACAGCAGUUAAAAUGCCAUCUCUGCCUUGUAAAAUCCCUUAUGCACAGUACAAUGUUUUCAGUUAUUAAACGAGCAUAAUUUAAAGGGCAAUUUACUUUUCAUCAUUUGUACUAUUGUAUUCCUACCAUAUUGGCCAGUUUUUUUUUUUUUCUUUGUAGACAAUUUUCAACUUGAGCUGUUUAAUAGUAGCUCACAAGUAUAUUUGUCUCAAGCCAAGAGGCUUGCAUUGUUAUUUUAGGAAUUAUAGUGGGCAUUUUUCAAGUUGUAUUAAGUUCUUCAAAUGCCCUAUUAAAAAAAUAUUCUCGACAUAAAGCAAGCCAACAAGACAAUAACUGCGAAAUGAGCCUUUAUUUUUUUUACCGAUACUUUUUUGGACAACAAAAUUGUGAGCUCACUUUGAGGGAAUUCUGAGCACAUGGGGAAACACCCAUGUAUGUAGCCCAGGAUCAUGCUGACCUACCGUGAUGCACACGGCUUGGGGCUCACAUGACCAGAAAACCCACAGACGCUCUAAUGAUAGACACAUCUUUUUCCUUUUGGCGUUGGCAGGAUGCUCACUAUAAACUGACAGCAGUUUAACUGGGUUGCUAAGCAGGGCUGGGGGUGAGAAGGAAAGGAGGAGAUAACAAAGGGGUCCCAAGCAGUUUUUCUCUUUUCCCCAGCACGAAAAGUACACAAUGUGUGUGUGUUUCCUCUGUAAAUUAUGAGGCAAAUAUCUAACUAUGAAUACUCAAAUCAAGUUUUUUUGGGUCAAUGCUUCUAGAAUAAAAUACUAUGAGCAUCCAGGGCCAUGGACAUACAUGAGAUACUACUGCUUUGCACGUAUGCUAGAGUCUACCGACUUCGGUUCACUCCGUUGUGUAAAUCUGCAUUGUUUGAUGUUGGAAUAGAGAUUUGGGUUUGGAACUGAGAUCUAUUCGUAUACUUUUUUGUAAUUCUUCCUUCUCUGAUGAUUUCCUUUUAUUCUACUUUGCUUUAAACCAGACAGUCCUAAAAUAAUCUGUACCUUGAACAGACUGGCAUUGUCAGGGAAUACGUGCUGCUGUUCCAUGGAAACCAUCUCCAUGAGUCAGAAAGAAAAUGCCAAUCCUGUUGUCCUGAUACUGUGAUGUACGUUGCUAAUGUAACACCUGAUAUGCGUAAACUGGGCAAGAGUUGCUUCUCCAAGAGCUGCUGUGCAGAAUGCAGGGAGAGAUGGAGCCAUUUGGAAGUAGAACACGUGUUUAGGGAAGGCAGUCACACCAUCUCAGAGGUAGGCCUUCCCAUCUGCCUCUUGGUGGGGCUCCUCUCUCCUGAAUAGUGUGCACGGCUUUAGGGCAGUGAGUGGAAGACACUCAUGGUGGUCCUGAGACCCUGAUGUUCAUCAGGGGGGCGGGCCACACAAGCCUUGCUCCUGAAUUCUUAGCGCUCAAACAAAUCAGCUACCUGCAAGAAUCCAAUUAAUCAGACUCUGUGGUAGGAAGAGGUGAGAAUAGAAAACUCAGAUGUCUUCAAAGUAUUAAGCAAAACAAAUUGCCUAUCUGUUUCUGUCUGUGGCAUCAGGGGUCUGCUUUAAGCCAGGGGUUGGCAAGCUGUGACCUUCAGCCUACUUUUGCACAGUCCAAAUCUAAAAAUGAUUGUUUAUAUUUUUAAAGCAUUG
rnacentral:lncRNA from 1 species